rnacentral:rRNA from 1 species
AACGAACGCUGGCGGCAGGCUUAACACAUGCAAGUCGAACGCACCGCAAGGUGAGUGGCAGACGGGUGAGUAACACGUGGGGAUCUGCCCAAUGGUACGGAAUAGCUCCGGGAAACUGGAAUUAAUACCGUAUGAGCCCGAAAGGGGAAAGAUUUAACGCCAUUGGAUGAACCCGCGUCGGAUUAGCUAGUUGGUGUGGUAAAGGCGCACCAAGGCGACGAUCCGUAGCUGGUCUGAGAGGAUGAUCAGCCACACUGGGACUGAGACACGGCCCAGACUCCUACGGGAGGCAGCAGUGGGGAAUAUUGGACAAUGGGCGCAAGCCUGAUCCAGCCAUGCCGCGUGAGUGAUGAAGGCCUUAGGGUUGUAAAGCUCUUUCGCCGACGAAGAUAAUGACGGUAGUCGGAGAAGAAGCCCCGGCUAACUUCGUGCCAGCCGCCGCCGUAAAAC